AGAACGAACGCUGGCGGCGCGUCUUAAGCAUGCAAGUCGAACGGCAAGAGGUAGCAAUACCUCCUAGAGUGGCGGACUGGUGAGUAACACGUGGGUGACAUACCCUUCAGAUGGGGAUAGCUAUUAGAAAUAGUAGAUAAUACCGAAUACGAGCACAGGGGUUAGAGAUCUGUGAGGAAAGGAGCUAAGGCUCCGCUGAAGGAAUGGCCUGCGGCCCAUUAGCUAGUUGGUGAGGUAAGAGCCCACCAAGGCGAUGAUGGGUAUCCGGCCUUAGAGGGUGAACGGACACAUUGGGACUGAGAUACGACCCAGACUCCUACGGGAGGCAGCAGCUAAGAAUAUUCCGCAAUGGACGAAAGUCUGACGGAGCGACGCCGCGUGGAUGAAGAAGGCCGGAAGGUUGUAAAAUCCUUUUGAAACUGAAGAAUAAGCGUUGUAGGGAAUGACAGCGUGGUGACAGUAGGUUUUGAAUAAGCAACGGCUAAUUACGUGCCAGCCGCGGC
rnacentral:rRNA from 1 species